rnacentral:rRNA from 1 species
AUUGAACGCUGGCGGUAGGCCUAACACAUGCAAGUCGUACGGCAGCACAGUAAGAGCUUGCUCUUACGGGUGGCGAGUGGCGGACGGGUGAGGAAUACAUCGGAAUCUACUUUUUCGUGGGGGAUAACGUAGGGAAACUUACGCUAAUACCGCAUACGACCUACGGGUGAAAGCAUGGGAUCUUCGGACCUUGCGCGAUUGAAUGAGCCGAUGUCGGAUUAGCUAGUUGGCGGGGUAAAGGCCCACCAAGGCGACGAUCCGUAGCUGGUCUGAGAGGAUGAUCAGCCACACUGGAACUGAGACACGGUCCAGACUCCUACGGGAGGCAGCAGUGGGGAAUAUUGGACAAUGGGCGCAAGCCUGAUCCAGCCAUACCGCGUGGGUGAAGAAGGCCUUCGGGUUGUAAAGCCCUUUUGUUGGGAAAGAAAAGCAGCAGGUUAAUACCCCGCUGUUCUGACGGUACCCACAGAAUAAGCACCGGCUAACUUCGUG